CUUAGACCUAAGCUGAUUAAUGAGUUUCUAGCUCUGCCUCUUGCCACAGACCAUACACACCCAUUACCAAUGAGCAAUAGAUUCCGGUAACCCCCUCCUGUCUACCAGAGUCCUCUCCCUGUAACCCAGAAUGUUUGCACGUCCCACCCGCGCUUUGCCCAGCUCCUCACUGUCCUUGGACUUCCCUGGAGAACGUAGAACUGAUGUGCACUGUUGGCUCCUGUUGUGCUGCACAGGCCUCCGUACAAACGGAACUCAAGAGCAUACACCACUCAUCUCUGCUAGUGGAUCACCUCUGAACGCUGUCUGCGCUGGGCUGAGGAUGCUCAUUACUGAAGUUCAAGGUUCUUACUGAUGUCACUGGAAAAUUUGUCUCUGCUCUGAGAAAUCACAGGGGUUAGUCUUUGUGACUCGUGAGGUGACUACACUAACACCUGGUGUUGAUAAGAUGGCAUGAAAACAGCCAGCUCUGGAAGUCGUGCGGAGUGAUGGCUCAGAAGUGAAUAGUGCUUGCUGCUCUUUCCAAGGACCCGAGAUGGGUUACCAGCACCCAUGUUCUCCAGAUCACAGUCUUCGCUAACUCCAGCUCCAGGGCUUCUAACCCCCUCUUCUGGCCUCCAUGGUCUUUCAUGUGUAUUCUGCAGAAGCCAGAAGGUCCCAUCGAGCUGGAGGUACCGG
rnacentral:lncRNA from 1 species